rnacentral:lncRNA from 1 species
CAGGAAGCUGCUUUAUUCUUGCUGAGAGACAGGGGCUGCUGCCCACACACAGACCCUGUGUCCACCCUGCAGAAAAGGCCAGGAGGGCCUGCAGAGCUGGGAAGCGCCACCCAAGGGUCUCAGUCACCAAGACUGCAGGAGAGGCAAGGCCAUGUCAGGCCUGGCAGCUGUGGCUGGGGCCAGGAGGGAGGGACCAGGCCCAUGUGGGAACAGGACAAAUGCCCAAGGCCACAUCCUUCGUCCACAGUCCUGAGGCUCCUGCCAGGCUGACAGGAAACAGCCCAGAGCUGAGGUCUUUGAGCCGGUCAUUCCAACAUUGCAAGCACCACCCAGUCCUCCUGGCUGAAGUUGAGUGAGAACGCCGGAUGCGGGUGCAGAAAGACUGCGUCCAGGGAGCACUGCCCACAGGCCGAGCCGGGGCCUCCCGCAAGAGGAAGGAGGUGCCCUCAAGGCUACGGACCUGGGGUCCCGGUGGUGACGCCCCACGGGGCUCAGGCCUAAAGAGGCCGAGAGGGCCUCGGGGACCCAGUGCAUGCCCCACGCUGAGCAGCACAGGCUGCCCCACCGUGGGCUCCCCGAUCUCUCUCUGGAUCACCGAGACCUCGCAGGGAGGGUCAUCAGGGGCGCCAGGCCCAGGGCCACCACAGUGGAAGGUCUCCCCUUCCCCAGGCACGUAAUCUUCCAGGUCAGCCAGUGUCAGCAUGCGGCCGUUGUGCGUGAGGAUCUUGGGGUCACGAUCCCCAAGGCUGUGUGUGUCCUGGGACUCCUCCGUCACAAAGGCGUCUCCGUCUUCCCCCUCUUCCUCUCCCGCCUCCUCCAUGGUGCCCUCCUCCUCCAGGCUGCCCAUGCCAGAAGCAGCCCAGUCCACACUGCCUCUGGCAUCCACGCGGAAGACAAGGGGCUCUCUGACGCCGACCAUGGCUGUGCCCUGGGCCCAGGCCUCCUGGGCCAGCAGCUUGUUGUUGGAGUUGUUGGAAUUGGGGUCCCCUCCGGGGGUCGCACCGGGCAGUGUGAAGAGAUGCCCCGAUGAGCUCCUGGGCACCUCUGUGGUGGGAGACACACCCUGCGGGCCCAUCUUCUUCACCCGGACUUCAAUGGUCUCCUCCACCUCCACCCACUUGGGCUGGGGCCCCGAGAGUCCGGGCAGAGCUGGAGAGUGGGCCUCGGCCUCCGUCACAUACAGUGUGGGCACCACGGGCUUCUGGCCUGGUUCUGCCUCCGGCCUGCGGGGCUGGCCAGCACCUGGCAGGUACAGCAGGUCGGGGGCCAGUAGGCCUGGCCUCAGCGGGCUGGCAGAGCAGCGGGAAGGUGAGCGGGAGGGGGACUUGCUGGGGGACCGUCGUUGGCCACGUGGGCUCUUCACCACAGUGGUGAUGGUCUCUUCUCUGGGGGAGGGAGGAGAGGGCCCGAGAAAAGAUGGGCACAGCGCCCAGGAUUGCCAGGGCAGCGUGAGAGCUCAGGUUAUUGUACCAGCAAGCCAGCAGUGAGAGUGCACAAAGAACUCUUACACAUGCAUGUGAGCCCAACCUACAGAGUCCCCCACCCCCUGCCACAGAACUAAAGAAACAAAGCACAAGGUCCCAUGUGGCCAAUCUGUCUCUGGUGUGCAGAUCUGAAAACAAGAGGUGAGGUACGUGGGGAGGCCCGUGCCGCACUGCAUAGGCAAGCGCCUCCAAAAACCGGGUCACAUCCUGAUUGCAGUGGCCCCGGUGCCCGUCUCCCCUCCAGGUCCAUCCCACCUUUGUGCUUUGUAUCACGGGGGAUGGUGCGUGGCCAACUCUCAGAGGGCAGGGCCUGCACACCCUGAAAAUCCUCAGCCAGGGACGGGCUGGACAGCUUAUGCCGUGGGGGUGGGGUGGGGGCUGAGCUCAGACCUGUUCUCCUGGCCUUUGGGUCUGAAAGUGUGAGGCCCAGAAAGGCUUUAGGCAGGCCAAGGGAGAAACCUGGCUGAUACGUGGCCCCAGACUUGGCUUGGCCAUGAUGAGCCGUGUGACAUCAGACAAGCCCCUCCUCCUGCCUGGCUCCAUCUCCCAAAAUGGGAUGGGGGAGGAGUGACGGAGGCAGAAUGCAAGGUUGGCUGUACGUGGCUGUGCGUGGGGCACUGGCUGGGAACUUUGCAAGCUCUCUUGUCUGACUCUGCAGUAACCUGGGAGAGGGUCUGAUCCCACUUUAUAGGGGACAGAGAGGGUCAAAGAGGCUGAAAAUCUGCCUGGGGCCAAGAGGGAGAAGCAGAGCAGUCAGCCCAGGUCCUCCUCUGGUGCCCGGUGCCCCUGACCUUGCUGAGCACUGAGAGCAAACUGAGUUAACACGUAGGGAAGCAGAACGUGCUGAGUAACACACAACACAUACCAGUUCCCUGCCUGUUACUCAUUUUGCCCUCAGCCUUGC